AAAAGUUUCUUGCUUCUUCCAAGAGCAAGUGGUGCGGAUGGAGGAAACUCCCGCUCAGUUUCUUGCUUCUGAUCAAAGAGCAAGUGGCGUGCAUGUAA
rnacentral:ncRNA from 1 species